GGACUUAUCACGCAAUGAUUUAACGGGAUCAGUUCCAGAAUUUCUAGCUAAAAUGCCAUCUUUGACUGCUCUAAACUUAACAGGAAACAACCUCACUGGUUCACUUCCGGUUGAACUCAUUGAAAGAUCAAACAAUCAUUCACUAUCAUUAAGUGUUUCUGGAAAUCCACAUCUUUGUACAUUGGUGUCCUGCCAAAGGAAAAGCAAAGUCAAGUUUGUUAUUCCAGUAGUAGCAACAGCCACCUCAUUGUUUGUCAUCUUAAUAGCAUUGGCUAUUUGGUGGAGUCUCAUAAGAAGAAAAC